rnacentral:rRNA from 1 species
CAGUAGCCACGGGAAUACAGAGGAUGCAAGCGUUAUCCGGAAUGAUUGGGCGUAAAGCGUCUGUAGGCGGCUUUUCAAGUCCGCCGUCAAAUCCCAGGGCUCAACCCUGGACAGGCGGUGGAAACUACCAAGCUGGAGUACGGUAGGGGCAGAGGGAAUUUCCAGUGGAGCGGUGAAAUGCGUUGAGAUCGAAAAGAACACCAACAGCGAAAGCACUCUGCUGGGACGACACUGACACUAAGAGACGAAAGCUAGGGGAGCAAAUGGGAUUAGAUACCCCCGUAGUCCCUGUCUCUUAUAC